AAAAAUAAAAUAAAGUCAGCAUUAAUCCAGAUUUAAGGUAAUGAAGAAAAGAUGAUGGCGCGACACGCGUGUGUCCUUCACUAAUGACGCAAUCUAUUACAAGGACAUUAAACAGAUAAGACGGCAAAGAGACGGAACUGAUAAAAGAAAGACACAUCCAACGGCUUAUAACGCAUCUCAAGUCAAAUCAACGACCAAAGACAAAAGACUUGGCCUUUUGAUAGCGACACGUUUCUCUCUCCGACAAACCAUAACCAAGCGUUUUCCCCAUCCGUACUUAUUAGUCUCCUUCCUCUCUGUUUUUCAUUUCCCUUCUGCUCCCAUUAAAUCUAAGUUUCUAAAAAAUGUUUCAGAUCUUAUUCAUUUUAGGGCUUUAAAUUUUUUCUAUUCUCUCUUGAUAGAGAGAUAGAGAGAAAGAGCCAGCACACAUAUAUGCUUAUAUUUUGCAUGGAGAGAGUGAAUAUUUAUAUAAGAUUAACCUUUCUUUCUCCAUACCAGUUUCAAUUCUGAGUCGUAUCUUCAUCACCUUUUGUUUCUAGCUUCAGUUCUUUAAAACGAAAAAAAAUCUAGAGCUGAGAAUUAGAGAAACCCUAGUUAGUGUCCGUACUUAGAUAUUUUACUUUCCUUUUAUGGAUUCAUAGAUCGAGGUCUUGUUAGUUGUUAUUAUUCCCAAAUCUGAUCUCAAGUACCUUCGAUCUGUACUUGCAACUUCUCUCUUUUUAUGUUUUACUUUCUUUUAUCAUCAGUUUCUGAGCUAGUUUUUCCUAGCUAUAUAUACACAUAUGUUGUUUCUCUUCAAUAUAUUAAAUUUCUUAUAUGUUCAUGUUGAUGGGGAAAAAGAAGUUGACAGAAGAGAGUGAGCACACAAAGGGGGAAUUGUAUAAAAUUAAGUUUGUUGUAUAUAGUUGCUUUUGCGUGCUCACUCUCUCUAUGUCAUAACUUCUCCUUCUUGGAUCUUCACUGAAUCCUAGUGAUUAUGUGUUCAUAUUAUGUCUAUCCAUACCAAGUUAUGUAUAUGCAUUAUAUAUGUUGUAUCUCAUUCUUUAUUUUAUAAUCUUAAACUGAUUGGCAUUAGAUUUAGCUUCAAAGCUUUGUAAAUUCUUUGUAUCACAGAUUUUGUCUUAUAAUAAAUUUAAACAUAUGACAUAACGUAUAUGUGUGAAUUAGCAUGUAUAUAUAAUAGGGAAUAUUUGUUGGAUUUCUCAUACAAUCUAAUGUCUUUUUUCUAUUUGGAUUAGGUUUGGUUGACCCAUUAUGCUUCUUAGACUCGUUGGAAUAUGAUGUUUGUAUUCUAAGUAUCUAUUGUCACUGGAAUGUAUACUUCUUCUUUUUGCAGACUCUAACUCACGGUUAUUCUGAAUGGUUCAUUCCCAACUAUAAAAGGUUUAUCAAAGUUACGUAGAUUACACUUUGAAUAUAUGGAACAUGACUGGGUUUUACUGAUGAUUUAGUGGCGGCAAUUAACCAAAGCUUGGACUUGAUGAGCUCAGAUCAGAGGAGUUGUAGUUUAUGUGUGUUGUUAGGUGAAUAUUUUUGAUCUAAGUUCUUUUAUUUUUUUGUGCCAGAGUUGUAGUUUCUGUGCUGGUUAGCUGUGUGCAAUCAAAUAAGUAUAAUCAGCCACAAUUAGUUGAAGCGGUUGAAAUUGAUACGGCUGAGUGUGAGAGCUUAUCUCCGACUAUUGUGGUGAGGAAAAUGAUUAUCGUCUUGCAAAUGAAGUUUAGUAGGAUUUAUAGGAACGUUUAUACGAAUAGUAGAUUAGUCGGAUAAGUGGAGAUAGUGUCAUAGUGGGAUGCACAGAACAUUGGGCUUUGGAAUUUGACUUGAAGAGGUUUCAUUUACAUUUUGAUACGCAACACAGGCUUACAAACACUAGCCAGCCAUGUAUAAACCCUUUCCAUUUUUCCAUACAUUUUCUUUAUCUCGUCAAUUAGCUUCUCUGUUGCGAUAUUUUCUUACAACAAAUGCGUCACUGAUCUUUUUUUGAGAUUUUUUUUUUUUUUUGAGAAAAUGCGUCACUGAUCUUCCUGCGUCAGCUUGUUGCAUUAUCCUUACUGAAAAUCAUAUUAGGUAUGCUAACGAACCAAGACUAGGCUUCAAGCCUUCAACGCUGCGCAAAGAUGGAUGUACUUUCGUGAAGAAAUUCCAUGAAAAGAGUUUAUAUUUUAAAUUAAUCUGUUUUGCUGAUGUAACUAAACUGCUACAAAAUAAGAGUGGCUCUGAUGUGUUUAGAACAUAAGAUGUAUACCAUUAUACCAACACAUGCAUGCAGACCACCUUGAUGGUCUUUUAUU